rnacentral:lncRNA from 1 species
AGCAGGACAGAGGGCAACACUGAUGUCUCGCCCAUUGGUCAAGCUGCUUCUGCUGAAAGUCCAGAAAGAAAAGUAACAGAUGUUGCGGUAAUUGCCAGUGUGAUACAGUCACGAGCAAUUAUUUAAAGAAACAAGCUCAAAAACAAACUUUACAAAAAGGACCUCAAAGACUACAUAUUUAUCAAUCAAAGGCAAGAAUAACAGAAACCAAAGAGAAAAAAAAAUCCCUUUUACGGUGCUACUGUAAAAAACAAAUCAAGCAUAUUUUCACUAAUUUUAAAAACUGUCAGUUCUUUCUUGGUGAAAAUAUGAGUCCAUAUGGCAUACUGGGUCUGCUAGACUACCAUGAGGAUAUGAUCCCAUAUACGAAUUUAUUUAA